rnacentral:lncRNA from 1 species
GUUGCAGAGGAGGCAGCAGCAAAAGAGGGAGAGGCUGCGGAGGCCCUGAAGAAGCCUCGACUCGUAAGGACUUCAGGAAAGUCUGUUAGUUUAUUGGCAGGUCGUGAGGAGGAUAUAGCCCCUUCACUACUGGAUGCUUUACCUGCUGGGGUCCUGGGUGCUGCUGCAUAUUCUUACAAAUUCUGAAUGGACCGGUGGCAGACAUAUACAUCCACUUGUGAUGCUGUGGAUCUCACCAAAGCAAUGGUAAGUCAAAGUGUCCAAACCUUGGGCAUAGCGCUAGAGUGUUAGAAGGUUCUUGCUGACAUCUAGAGGAGGAAUAAGGCCUCAGUUGACAGGUUGGCCUCCACUGAGGAGGAACUAAAGAAAAUAAGGGCCAAAGCGAAGGAGAUAAAGGCCCAGAUAGUUGAAGACUUAGCAAAGUUGGAAUAUGCUAUGGCCCAAAUUGAGACUCAGAGAUAGGAAGUAUAUGAGUCUCAGUAUGAAGUGGCUUCUCUGACUAAGAAGGUGGAAACAUCUGAUAAGCACUAGAAGCUUACAUCUGAGGCUUUAGAAAAGGCCAAUUCGGACCUUGCUGGGCCAGGGAUGCCAACCAAUUUUUAAAAGGUCAAAUAAAGUGGUAUAUAAAUAACGCCAAGGAUGCUAGGGUCGAGGCUGAGGUGGCAAGAGAGGAGGCAGUAAAGGAGUAUAUAACCAACUUCUACCUCACCGAAGACUACCAACAUGUUGGGGCUUAUCAGAGGAACUAGGCCUACGCUAAAGUGCUGGGAAGGGCCGGGAAGCUUGACCAUUAUAAGCUCAAAGCAGAAUUAUAUACCACUUUGCGGAAUCAAGGUCUGAGUUUGUGGACGAAGUGCUUCGAACUCUAGCCAAAAAAGGAGUAGAUGAAGCAGACGGAAAGGAAAAUGUCAAAAAACCUUCAGAGAUUCCUACUACUAAGGCACCCCCUUGCCAGCCAUCCCCAACUUAGGAUGGUUUUCUUGAGAUAACAACUAUGUAAUGGCCUCAGGCCCUUCUCUUAAUAUGAAUUGUCCAUUAACAAAACGAAAUGUUUUCCAAGUAUUUCAUGUUCAUCUUCUUAUGUUAUACUUGACCAUUAUAAGCUCAAAGCGCCAUUACAAACUUAAAGCCGAGAUACAUAAUUGGAUUAACUAAUAGAUAAUAGGCAACAACUUCAUGUUCAAAGACUUCGUUGCUGGACGAAUGAUAUAUAUGAUCUUUUGAAUAGAGCACUCAACAUUUCAAGUUAAUUACUUCACUUUAAGAUAUACGAAGCUUUGUUAUACCAAGUUUUGUCAAUUAUUACUUAACCUUGUCAAUAUUAAGUGGUUGGGGUUUAUUUAUGCAGAGGCUUCUCUUAUUUAACGUUCAGCUUUGUCAAAGAGGGGGAUGUG